rnacentral:rRNA from 1 species
GAGUUUGAUCCUGGCUCAGGAUGAACGCUGGCGGCGUGCUUAACACAUGCAAGUCGAACGAAACACCUUAUUUGAUUUUCUUCGGAACUGAAGAUUUGGUGAUUGAGUGGCGGACGGGUGAGUAACGCGUGGGUAACCUGCCCUGUACAGGGGGAUAACAGUUAGAAAUGACUGCUAAUACCGCAUAAGACCACAGCACCGCAUGGUGCAGGGGUAAAAACUCCGGUGGUACAGGAUGGGCCCGCGUCUGAUUAGCUGGUUGGCAGGGUAACGGCCUACCAAGGCAACGAUCAGUAGCCGGUCUGAGAGGAUGAACGGCCACAUUGGAACUGAGACACGGUCCAAACUCCUACGGGAGGCAGCAGUGGGGAAUAUUGCACAAUGGGGGAAACCCUGAUGCAGCAACGCCGCGUGAGUGAAGAAGUAUUUCGGUAUGUAAAGCUCUAUCAGCAGGGAAGAUAAUGACGGUACCUGACUAAGAAGCUCCGGCUAAAUACGUGCCAGCCGCCGCGGUAAUUC